UACGUAGGGGGCAAGCGUUGUCCGGAUUUAUUGGGCGUAAAGAGCGUGUAGGCGGCCAGGUAGGUCAGCUGUGAAAACUCGAGGCUUAACCUCGAGAUGUCGGCGGAAACCAUCUGGCUAGAGUCCGGAAGAGGAGAAUGGAAUUCCCGGUGUAGCGGUGAAAUGCGCAGAUAUCGGGAAGAACACCCGUGGCGAAGGCGGUUCUCUGGGACGGUACUGACGCUGAGACGCGAAAGCGUGGGGAGCGAACAGGG
rnacentral:rRNA from 1 species